rnacentral:rRNA from 5 species
GCGUAGGUGACCUGCGGAGGAUCAUUG